rnacentral:rRNA from 1 species
GACGUAGGGCGCAAGCGUUGUCCGGAUUUAUUGGGCGUAAAGAGCUCGUAGGCGGCUCGUUGCGUCGGCUGUGAAAACCCGCAGCUCAACUGUGGGCUUGCAGCCGAUACGGGCGGGCUGGAGUUCGGUAGGGGAGACUGGAAUUCCUGGUGUAGCGGUGAAAUGCGCAGAUAUCAGGAGGAACACCGGUGGCGAAGGCGGCCACCUGGGCCGACCCUGACGCUGAGGCGCGAAGGCGUGGGGAGCGAACGGG